rnacentral:lncRNA from 1 species
GAUGUCCGUGCUCACCAGCAAUGUCCAGCCUCAUGGCCGCCGUGUCCGGAGCCGCCCCGGCCGCGUUCGAGGCCGAGCAGAGCAGGAGGAGCCCCUGGAGAGCCGGGACGGGAACCAGCCUGGGGAUAAUGGGGAUAUACUGGUUUGUACUGGGAUAUACUGGUUUAUACUGGUUUAUACUGGUUUGGACUGGUUUGUACUGGUUUGGACUGGUUUGGACUGGGAGGGACUGGGAUAUACUGGGAAUAAUGGGCUAUACUGGUCUAUACUGGUCUAUACUGGUCUGUACUGGUUUAUAUUGGUCCAUACUGGUUUAUACUGGUUUAGACUGGUCCAUACUGGUCCAUACUGGUCCAUUCUGGUUUAUACUGGUCCAUACUGGUUUAUACUGGUCCGUACUUGUCCAUACUGGUCCAUACUGGUCCAUACUGGUCCAGACUGGUCUAUACUGGUCCAGACUGGUCCAUACUGGUCUAUACUGGUCCGUACUGGUCCAUACUGGUCUAUACUGGUCCGUACUGGUCUAUACUGGUUUAUACUGGUCCAUACUGGUCUAUACUGGUUUAUACUGGUCCGUACUGGUUUAUACUGGUCCAUACUGGUUUAUACUGGUCCGUACUGGUCCAUACUGGUUUAUACUGGUUUGUACUGGUUUAUACUGGUUUAUACUGGUUUAUACUGGGAGGGACUGCAGCGGUUUUGGGGGAUUUUAGGGGGAUAUUUCCAGUCCCUCCCAGUUUGUCCCA